rnacentral:rRNA from 1 species
GACGAACGCUGGCGGCGUGCUUAACACAUGCAAGUCGAACGGAAAGGCCCUGCUUGCAGGGUACUCGAGUGGCGAACGGGUGAGUAACACGUGGGUGAUCUGCCCUGCACUUCGGGAUAAGCCUGGGAAACUGGGUCUAAUACCGGAUAGGAGCCAUUUUUAGUGUGAUGGUUGGAAAGUUUUUUCGGUGUAGGAUGAGCUCGCGGCCUAUCAGCUUGUUGGUGGGGUAAUGGCCUACCAAGGCGGCGACGGGUAGCCGGCCUGGGAGGGUGGACGGCCACAUUGGGACUGAGAUACGGCCCAGACUCCUACGGGAGGCAGCAGUGGGGAAUAUUGCACAAUGGGCGCAAGCCUGAUGCAGCGACGCCGCGUGGGGGAUGACGGCCUUCGGGUUGUAAUCUCCUUUCGCUAGGGACGAAGCUUUUUGUGACGGUACCUAGAUAAGAAGCACCGGCUAACUACGUG